UUUUUUCAAUCGCAUUUCUUUUAUUAAUAAUAAUAAUAAUAACAAUAAAAGAAACUCACUCAUCAACAAAGCUUAUAGAUAUAGAUAGUUUCCUGUGAAUCCUUCUUUUCACCCAAUCAGAAAUAUUAUUUGAAACAAAUAACUUGUCCCAACCAAUAAAAGAAUCUCUCAGCCUAAAUGUACUACCAAGAUUCAUCAGAAUCAAUCAAUUCAUGAACGAAUAGCUUAUGGCUUCUUCUCAAGAUUGUAAAAUAUGUAUGUCAAAACCAUAUUGUCCAAUAAUGUAUAAAAAGCUUCAAGAAUAAGAAUUUUUCUUUACAUUUUCCUAUUGUCAUUUAUGCACUAUUCUCUCCCUAAGAAAUGUGAAACAUCACCAAAUGUCCCGUCUUCAACUGAUCAUCAGAUAUGUUAACUCAAAGACAUUUAAAUUAAUUCUGCUACAUAUAAAAUUAUCAAGUAGAAAUAGACUUCAUUAAAUCGUUUCCUUGACUCAAAGAAUCUCAAAAAGGCAUUAACAAAAAGUGAGUGAGAAAACUCCAACAGGCAGGAGUAAGAAAAUCACAAGAGGGUUUGAAAGAGAGGUCCUACCUCUAAGUCGCCCUUGGAGUGGCCCACUCAACUCUAAGGAUGAGAUUAUCGUAACCAUAUCCAUUAAGCUUGUUAAUUGAUCUUUGUGCAUCCUCACGAUUCACAAAGUUUACAAAACCAAAUCCUCUGCUCAUGCCAGUCUUUUGAUCAACAGCAACAUAAACUCGGCUAACAGCACCAAAAGGUCGGAAGAGCUCAAGCAAGUCAGGUUCUCUAGUGUCCUCUGAAAGGUUGGUAACACGAACAGAGUUUUCAUCAUUCCUACGCCUCAUGUCAGUUCCAGUCCUCUCCGCCCCUGCUCUCAUACCUGGAGGAACAUAUGCUCCCUUUGUUGCACCAGGAGCAGCAGCUGUAGUCUCUGGUGCAACAGGCUUAUCCAAUCCAUCAGCUUGUGGUGCCAGGUCCUUGUAAGGGCACCUUGAGGUCCAGUGGUCACCCUUUUUACCACAAGUUCGACAAACCAUAAGAACAGCACCACCUUUUCCAAGUUGAGCUAGCGGGUCACCAGCAACCUUUGGCUCCUCUGGUUUGCUACCUGAGCACGAGGGCGCUCGAGAAGAAUCUCCUCAGUGGAGACCAUAGUGAGGCGACUGCCGACAUCUUCAUGGACAGCAUCGCCAAACUUGGCCCAAGAUCGGCGCUCUAUUGCAUGUUUACUAAGGCGAGCAUGGGCGAGCUUGCGUGUACGAGUUGUCGUUGUGAUUUUGACCUUGUUACCAUCUUCGUUAAACUGAUACUCAACAAUUUUCUUCAACCCAUUUUCGUCUGGCCCGAUAAUUUGCUUUGGCGGAAGAAGAAAAUCUAGAUCCCCAUCGUCAUCUUCAAGCUCCCCCCAUCUCAAUUUGGAUGCAUUUGUCUGCUGAACCAUUGCGAAGAAAAUGGAGAACUCGAAGGCUAGGGUUUGCGACGGAAAUUUUGGGGGCUAGG